CAGGCCUUAUACAUGCAAGUCGGACGGUAACAUUGGUGCUUGCACCAGAUGACGAGUGGCGCACGGGUGCGUAACGCGUAUGCAACCUACCUUUUACUAGAGUAUAGCCCAGAGAAAUUUGGAUUAAUCCUCUAUAAUAUCUAUUAAUCUCAUGAUUUUUAGAUUAAAGUUUUAACGGUAAAAGAUGGGCAUGCGUCUUAUUAGUUUGUAGGUGAGGUAAUGGCUCACCUAGACUACGAUAGGUAGGGGCCCUGAGAGGGGGAUCCCCCACACUGGUACUGAGACACGGACCAGACUCCUACGGGAGGCAGCAGUAAGGAAUAUUGGACAAUGGACGAAAGUCUGAUCCAGCCAUGCCGCGUGCAGGAUGACAGCCCUAUGGGUUGUAAACUGCUUUUAUACAGGAAGAAACACUCCGACGUGUCGGAGCUUGACGGUACUGUAAGAAUAAGGAUCGGCUAACUCCGUGCCAGCAGCCGCGGUAAUACGGAGGAUCCAAGCGUUAUCCGGAAUUAUUGGGUUUAAAGGGUCCGCAGGCGGUCUUUUAAGUCAGAGGUGAAAGCCUACAGCUCAACUGUAGAAUGGCCUUUGAUACUGAAAGACUUGAGUUAUUGUGAAGUGGUUAGAAUGUGUGGUGUAGCGGUGAAAUGCAUAGAUAUCACACAGAAUACCGAUUGCGAAGGCAGAUCACUAACAAUAUACUGACGCUCAUGGACGAAAGCGUGGGGAGCGAACAGGAUUAGAUACCCUGGUAGUCCACGCCGUAAACGAUGGAUACUAGCUGUUCGUCUAACAUUGGUUAGAUGAGUGGCUAAGCGAAAGUGAUAAGUAUCCCACCUGGGGAGUACGGU
rnacentral:rRNA from 1 species